rnacentral:rRNA from 1 species
AUUGAACGCUGGCGGCAUGCUUUACACAUGCAAGUCGAACGGUAACAGGCCUUCGGGUGCUGACGAGUGGCGAACGGGUGAGUAAUGCAUCGGAACGUGCCCAAUCGUGGGGGAUAACGUAGCGAAAGUUACGCUAAUACCGCAUAAGCCCUGAGGGGGAAAGCAGGGGAUCGCAAGACCUUGCGCGAAUGGAGCGGCCGAUGUCAGAUUAGCUAGUUGGUGGGGUAAAGGCCUACCAAGGCGACGAUCUGUAGCGGGUCUGAGAGGAUGAUCCGCCACACUGGGACUGAGACACGGCCCAGACUCCUACGGGAGGCAGCAGUGGGGAAUUUUGGACAAUGGGCGCAAGCCUGAUCCAGCCAUGCCGCGUGCGGGACGAAGGCCUUCGGUUGUAAACCGCUUUCAGCCGGAAAGAAUACGCCAAGGCUAAUAUCCUUGGUGGAUGACGGUACCGGAAGAAGAAGCACCGGCUAACUACGUGCCAGCAGCCGCGGUAAUGU